CAAAAAAUAUUCAGAACCUGGGGGGCAAAUUCCCUCUCCUUUUCCCUCUCUUUUUCCCCCCUCUUUUUUUCCUGAGGGCUAAAUUCCCUCUCCACAACUCACGAAAUUCCAGGGCUCAACUGAAUCAAUCACUUUCUUCUAUCAACUCAAAAUUCCAGGGCUCUAUAGAGUAAAACUCUUUCUUAUUCCAGGACUGCAAUCCGAACGGGAAAGGUACUAUAUGAGGAGGUUUCUCAUAUUUGCAACCGUUGUAUAUUGCAACUGCUGUAUCCAUCUUUGAGCAGGGAAAGACGAAUAACAAACACUUUGGGAUGCCUGCUGAAAAACAUGGUGAGCAGAUUGAAGGGUGAAUUGAAACCAUGGAUGCAGAGCAACUUAGUAUGGUGACCAAGAUGGAGAAUUUCGUUGCUGAUUAUUAUAAGAACAUUGAAGACUUCCUAUUCUAAGUCAACUUCAAAUUUUUAUAACCCAUCAAUUUAUUAGCUAGAGAAUAGUAGGAUUAAUCUUGUAAUGAAUACAUACAUUUUUAUUAUCCUAGCUAGUUGGUCACUAUAUCAGAUAUCAUAGUUAUGAUACAAAUUUUGUUUAGUUGGAUCUGAGUUUGUAUUGUUUGUUAUUAUGGUUAUUUUUAAUGGAAUUUGACUUUGUUAUAAGUUGUUCAGUGAAAUUAUUUAUUUAGUCCUGAUUAAAAAUUUUAAAUAGCAAAAAAAAUUUAAUAACAAAAAGUAUUGUGGUGGAAACAAAUUAAAUUGUCACUAG